rnacentral:ncRNA from 1 species
UUGUCCAAGUGCCUGCUUUUUUGCAGGAGAAUAGGGAAUCGGGUGAAAAUCCCGAAUGGUGCCGCCGCUGUAAGCGCGGAGGACGCUCGUAACGGCUUUGACUUUGCCAAGCCAUCCACUGCGAAUUUUCGUGGGAAGGAACGGGCGUUUCCUGUGAUGCGCAAGUCAGAAGACCUGCUUGGAUU